CGGCGAGUGAAGCGGCAAAAGCUCAGAUUUGAAAUCUGGCGUCAUCUUGGCGUCCGAGUUGUAAUCUGUAGAGGAGUAUUCGAGUGUGGCGUUGGCUUAAGUUCCUUGGAACAGGACGUCAUAGAGGGUGAGAACCCCGUUAACGGCCUUUGUCUUAUGCUCAUGUGAAUCUCCUUCAACGAGUCGAGUUGUUUGGGAAUGCAGCUCUAAAUGGGUGGUAAAUUCCAUCUAAAGCUAAAUACUGGCAAGAGACCGAUAGCGCACAAGUAGAGUGAUCGAAAGAUGAAAAGAACUCUGAACAGAGAGUUAAAUAGUACGUGAAAUUGUUGAAAGGGAAGCACUUGCUACCAGACACGCCUGUAGUUGAUCAGCCUUCAUUCUUGAUGGUGCACUCGGCUACAUGGUGGGUCAGCAUCAGUUGUGGCGGUGGGAUAAAGACCUGGGGAAUGUGGCUUCUCUCGGGAAGUGUUAUAGCCCUGGGUGCAAUACCGCCUGCUGCGACUGAGGACCGCGUGAGGAUGCUGGCAUAAUGGUCGUAAGUGACCCGUCUUGAAACACGGACCAAGGAGUCUAACAUCUAUGCGAGUGUUUGGGUGUCAAAACCCUUACGCGGAAUGAAAGUGAAUGUAGGUGGGAACCGCAAGGUGCACCAUCGACCGAUCCUGAUGUCUUCGGAUGGAUUUGAGUAGGAGCAUAGCUGUUGGGACCCGAAAGAUGGUGAACUAUGCCUGAAUAGGGUGAAGCCAGAGGAAACUCUGGUGGAGGCUCGCAGCGGUUCUGACGUGCAAAUCGAUCGUCAAAUUUGGGUAUAGGGGCGAAAG
rnacentral:rRNA from 1 species